GUAGCGCCGGCCUGGCACAGACAGCGUCGCCGUCGACGACGCGGCAGGUCACCGAUACGGCCGGGCGGAUCGUCACGGCGCCGCUGCGC
rnacentral:tRNA from 1 species